rnacentral:rRNA from 1 species
UACGAAGGGGGCUAGCGUUGCUCGGAAUUACUGGGCGUAAAGGGAGCGUAGGCGGAUAGUUUAGUCAGAGGUGAAAUCCUGGAGCUCAACUCCAGAACUGCCUUUGAUACUGGGAAGCUUGAGUCCGGAAGAGGUGAGUGGAACUCCGAGUGUAGAGGUGAAAUUCGUAGAUAUUCGGAAGAACACCAGUGGCGAAGGCGGCUCACUGGCCCGAUACUGACGCUGAGGCACGAAAGCGUGGGGAGCAAACAGG